rnacentral:rRNA from 1 species
UUUGUUCACACUGCGUGAGCGCACACAACACACAAACAAGUAUACUAGUUCAGGAGUUUUUAUAUUAACACAAAACUUUCAACAACGGAUCUCUUGGUUCUCGCAUCGAUGAAGAGCGCAGCGAAAUGCGAUACCUAGUGUGAAUUGCAGCCAUCGUGAAUCAUCGAGUUCUUGAACGCACAUUGCGCCCGUCGGCAUUCCGGCGGGCAUGCCUGUCUGAGCGUCGUUUCCUUCUUGCAAGACGAGAGUUGCGCAGAGCUGGCCCGGCCACGGCCCCGCCGAAAAGAAACGAGGCCACGAGCGAACUAKAACAGGACGCUUGGGGUCUCCGAGCACAUACGAGCUCGACCUCAGAUCAGGUAGGAAUACCCGCUGAACUUAAGCAUAUCAAUAASCGGAGGARAGGAUCAUUACUGUGAUUAUUUGUUCACACUGCGUGAGCGCACACAACACACAAACAAGUAUACUAGUUCAGGAGUUUUUAUAUUAACACAAAACUUUCAACAACGGAUCUCUUGGUUCUCGCAUCGAUGAAGAGCGCAGCGAAAUGCGAUACUAGUGUGAAUUGCAGCCAUCGUGAAUCAUCGAGUUCUUGAACGCACAUUGCGCCGUCGGCAUUCGGCGGGCAUGCCUGUCUGAGCGUSGUUUCUUCUUGCARACGAGAGUUGCGCARAGCKGGCCGGCACGGCCCGCGAAAAGAACGAGGCACGAGCGAACUAGAACAGGACGCUUGGGGUCUCGAGCMAUACGAGCUCGACUCAGAUCAGUAG